CAGUCGCCGCGGUAAUACAGAGGGUGCAAGCGUUAAUCGGAAUUACUGGGCGUAAAGCGCGCGUAGGUGGUUUGUUAAGUUGGAUGUGAAAUCCCCGGGCUCAACCUGGGAACUGCAUUCAAAACUGACUGACUAGAGUAUGGUAGAGGGUGGUGGAAUUUCCUGUGUAGCGGUGAAAUGCGUAGAUAUAGGAAGGAACACCAGUGGCGAAGGCGACCACCUGGACUAAUACUGACACUGAGGUGCGAAAGCGUGGGGAGCAAACAGGAUUAGAUACCCGAGUAGUCCCUGUCUCUUAUAC
rnacentral:rRNA from 1 species